rnacentral:lncRNA from 1 species
CAGAGAUCAGACUCCUUUGAGGAUAUCUGUGUACUUGCCUGAGAAGAUUGGGGACCAAUCCACGAGAAUUUUCUCAUGCUGAUGGAAAGGCUUCCUCCUUUCCUGCGUGGGGCUUUUGAUCUGCCUCGAUGCUAACUAACCUCUUGUAAUAACUGCUGUCAUACAGCUUCACUAUUUACUAGCCUGGCACUUUUAUUUUCUUUUUGCAUGUUUGGGGGGAUCCCAGGCUAGCAUACAACUCUAGCCCUGAGCUAUAUUCCACACUCUGCCUGCCCCCUCACCCCAUGCCUUUUCUCUUUAUCUUUUGAUUCAGCGUUCUUGCUAAGUUGCCCACAUUGGCCUUGAAUUUACAGUGCAGCCCAGAGACUCACCUGCCAAUCCCCGCCUUCCCACCUCUACCAGAGCCUCCAAUCCUACUUAAUUCAGACCGGAGUGUGGAAGAGAGAGACCCCUCGGGAAAGCGAGAUGGUGAGUGCUACAGUUAAGAUUGAGAAGCUGGGGGGGGGUGGGGGUCAAACACGCCUCCGAGGACAUCUGUGAAGGCGCUGGCCACUGUACGGGGCAGUUUAGGUUUCUAAUAAGGUUUUUAAACCAACGAUCUUUGACUAGAACUUUUCCUGGAGAAAUUUAAACCAGGAGAGACUUCCUGUGACAUCGAGCUUUGAGGGAAUGAGUAGACCUGACGCAGAAGUAAGCCGGUAGGGGCAGAGGUGGGCUGCAGGCUAAUUGGACAAAGUGGGCGGAGCCAGGUGUCAAGUGUCCGGGGAGAAACCCCUCCUGGAAGGUAUUUUGACCUCUUCAAUUGUUUACAGCAUCACCUUUCUUCCCCUCACCGCAAAUACUGUCAGAGUCUACUGUCUCCUCUCCCUUUAUUUUAAAACCAAGCAUUUCCCAUGUGGAUUCUGUCCUAACCUCCCACCCAAACUACCCUAGAGAGAGCAGGCGAGCAUCUCUUAGAGAUGGUGCUUGUGCAGUUCUGGAGAGCUCUCUCUUCCUUUCCCUGCCUUCCCAUCCCUGCCCUCCACCCCCCUUUUCUGGUAUACGUCUGGGAGUCAAAGGGUAACUAACUAAUGGAGUCAGUUUCUCUUUGCACUAUGUGGAUCUUGGGGAUAGAACUCAGGUGGUCAGGCUCAACAGCAGGCACCUUUAUUUAUCCACUAAGUCAUCCUCCACCUGACUCUCGGUCUCCUUCCCCUUCCUUCUUUCCCUCCCCUCCCCCUCCUCCUCCAUUCCCAAGAGCUCACUGUGUAGCUUUGGCUGACCUCGAACUCACUAUUGUAGACCAGGCUGUCCUGUCUCUGCUUUGGAAGUGCCGUGAUUAAAAGCCUGUGCUGCCACACUCAGGCUCUAAAAUUUUAAUUCCUUAUGCCUCAGUUCAGUUUCCUUCCAAACACAGAAGCAAAUACCACCUUUCCCAAAGAGCUGCAAGGCUGACACCUAUCUUAGAGCCUGUCCUGAAAGAGAUCAUACAGGCCGUUAUUAUUUCUCUGGCGUUACUCGGUAGCUGCUGGCUGUGGUAGCUUGUGCCUGGUGGCAGUGUAUGUUGAUUUUAUAGCUGUAUUUGAUACAUAGUCCGCUGUGUUUAGCUAAUGUUUCUA